UCAAAUAUGGCUUCAGACACUUCCCAGCUGUGUGACCCUGGGCAAGUCACUUGACCCCCAUUGCCUAGCCCUUACCACUCUUCUGCCUUGGAGCCAAUACACAGCAUUAACUCCAAGACGGAAGGUAAGGGUUUAAAAAAAAUGUAGCUCAAAUGUAUUUUUGCAUCUUUGAAAUUGCAUUAAGAAAAGUAAAAUAUUCUAAGGCUGGUUACGGAUGCCAAAAUGUCUAGAACAAUGUUGAUAACAGCCAACCAGACAUCCUACCAAUUGGGAACAUGUCAGUUCUCAGAUUUGUGACUAAAAACAUAACUGACUAAAGCAAUAGUCUCAAAUCCAGGUAUCAUCAGAAGUUAGGGGAUCAAAGCACUGGGUUUCUUCAUUGUAUUAUAGUGUUCCCAAUAAUUUGAGUUAAAGUGGCAGGAUUCUCAGGGCCCUAUCCCUCCCCAAAUUAAGUAUAUAGAUACCAGUACAGUUUUAUAAAUAUUUUCUAUAAUGGUUAUGAGAUAGUAGUUCUCGGCAUGACAUAGUGUUUAGGUUUUUUCACGAAUAUGUCUGAUAGAAGCCACAGGGGGAAAAAAAAGCGUUCCAAUUCUGUUUUAUGAGUACUGACAAUGAGUUAGGUUCUUGAAAAACAUACGGAUGAAGAAGGAAUAGGGACCUAAUAGCAAUGAUCAUAGGAGCCUUAAGUCCUGGACUCCUACAGCUAGAUACACUGUUGGGCAGCCUAUAUUUAAGUCUUACCGAGCAGUAAUGGUGCUAAAAGGGAACUAAUAGCAAGCCUCCAACUGUGUCUGGAAUCUCUCUCUCCUACAUGUUCAGAUUAGGUUCCUAUAUAUUUUUUCCUUUCAUGCUUAAAGACAGAAAUAGGAAAAUCUAGGAUUGGUUAAAAACUCUCAAUAUAACCAAGAAAAUGUUUCAGUGAAUGUAGUGCACAUUCUCACCCAUCCUCCCCCAGGUAGCCUCCUGAAUGGCACUGAUAGGCCAUGGAAGAUAUCUGGUUAUAUAUACAGCAAUAGAGUCCCUGCUGGUCAAAGCUAGUGAAGCUGUUCUUUUAGCUCAGUGCCAUGGAAUUCAUAGUACAGAGUACAAGGGAAGUUGGAGAACAGAGAUCUACUCCCACCAAGUGCUUUUCACUUUGAAAUGUUUUCACAAUCAAUGACGGCUAUCCAUGCUGAGAAGAGUGUGGAGCAGCCGAGUUGUAUAUGUAGUCCUUGUGUAGAAAAUAAACAUAGUUUAUACAGCAUGUUGCUAUUCUCUAUUUUAGAACCAGCAAAGGGACCAUGUGAUGUGACCAUUGCUAUGGUAACUACACUUCAGUAGUGAACAGUGGAGCAAACUGGCACGUAAAACAUGUAUAAGGUGUCUGUGUGUUAACAGAAUGCAUAGAACACCUACUCUGAUGCCUCACUGUGGAAAAAUAUGCCUGGGUCCUGGAACUCUGGGUUACUAGACUCUGCAAGCUGUGGUAGGAGAGAUGAUGAGAAAGACUUUAACUUGGGGCCUAGCACAGAUCUGAACUUCCUAUUCAUAAACUAAAAUAAAUAUGCACAUGGAUACAAGGAGUGGAAAA